CCUUGUUCAGUGGCCUUGUUUGGAUGGAAAGCACCUUCCUUGCUGAUGUCUGUUAAAGAUCUUCAACAAGGGUUGCAGGACUUGUGAUUUGAGUGUCCUUCUUUACCCAGACCAAGGAGAACAGAGCACACGGUGCGUUGGCUGACCUGGAGUCUGUCUACGGUGGCUGGAAGAUGCUUGAAUGGUGUCAGAAGGCUCUGGGAGCCCAGAGAGCGAGGCUGAGCGGCCUUAAAAACAUUGCUGACUUAAACUGACGCAUCUAAAUGCGCUGGAGGAAAGGCGAGAGGGCUGUUCGGGGACCUCCUGGGCGAUUACAUACAUGGCUGGUCAGUGACAUCGCCUGAGUGCCCCAGCAGCUAUGCCAGUCUUCCAGUUUUCUUUUGCUGGAUCUCAGGUCGGAUGAGGACAAGAUUGUGUUUUAAUAAGUAUUUAUUAGGAAGUGUUUUCCCCCUGCCUCCCACCCUCAUGAAACUGUUUAUUUUCCUUGCAGUAACACGUGUGUUGCUCAGCUUCUGCCGUUCCAUGUGUCGUGCUCUGUUACUCUGCCUUGCUCGCAGCCGCAGAGCAGGGGGAACGCUGCCAAGGCUUUUUCUGGGAAUUUGCUCUGGUCGUGCUACUUCCCCGGGAGCACUCAACGGAUGCAUGUUGUUUGCAGUGGGGGGGAAAUACUCAAAUGUCAGCAUCUGAAGCGAUCACGAAGGAAGCAAGGCGAGCACCAGCUACUCUUCCACCUCUUAGAGGUGCCUGCAUGCACAUAGCCUUGGUAGGUGGUGGGCGAUGACUUGUUGAGAAAUGAUAUCGUUAAGCAAGUAAAUGUGACCUUCUUGUGCUAUUUUAAAAAAUGUGAGACUUCGCUUCAGGCAGCCUUAGGAUAAAAGCACUUCCCUGCAUACCCACCUGCCCCAAGUUACCAGCUGCAAAAAUGGGGGCUGCAAGUGGCAGCGCUAUCCCAGCGAAGGGCACUCCUCUCUUUCUGAGAUGUGAUUGUAUUUUCACUUGGGCUGGAGGUGAGACAGUGCUUAAAACAUGGUGAAUUGAGAUGCAUUGGUGAACACAUUUUUAAAUCACCUGCCUUCUUGUUGCAGACACGAUUAUACCUACGCAGACUAAACCGCUGCAGGGGAGGCAGAGACGCAGUGCUCACUGCGGCUGCUUCGGCCGUUCAUUUGUUAGCAUGGGUUUGGAUUUCUGAUGACUCAGAAGGGAGCUCGGCUUCCUCUCAGCUAUUUGCAGAUCUAAAGAUCUGUUGUACCGUGUGGUUGUGAACCGGGACUCUGAACGUUGUGCAGAGCUGGGACCAAAAGCUGCCUGAGUCUCAGAGUGCGUAAAAGCAGUGAGCUGGUUUCCACGUGUUGGCUUUCCAUGUGUUGGGUUUGUAUGGGCCACUCACAGGUAACUCGGAGCAAAGCAGUGAGUGCUAGAAAGGGGUUCUUGCUGUUUGCGUCGGUUUCUUUCAGGCUGGGGUGGGGAUUAAAUGUUUCAAGCUUCUUGUUGAAGCCUUUGGAGUAGGAUAGUAAUGAGAUGAAUGUGGUGCAAAUGCCCUAACUCUGGGAGCAGGUGCUUCACUGCUGUGAGAGCUGGCAAUGCUAAAUAUCUUACACUUUCUGAUUUAUAAUUCCUUCCAGAUCUGGAGUGUUUUACCAAUUAUCUUCAUAUCCAAAACCUGAAGAUAUACAGUGGGAAAGCCCUUUUUUGUCUAGUACAUGCAUGUGAGCCUUUUGUACCAGAUUGGUCAUAGCAGCUGCAGAGCUCUUCCCCAGAUCCACAAACCCACAGGACUGGUAAUGAUAUAACCCUGCUGCAGAUUAUGGACGUGUUUUGUUUGAGAUUCUCUCUGCUUGAUGCAUUGUCUGCCUACAACGCAGGGCAAACUCUACUCCUCCCUUCUGGCCCGGCCUGUAAUGAUGGAUUAAGUAGAGUCUGCCCUCAGAAUUCAGGUCCUUCUCCAGGGCUCGGGGAACCUGCCUGCCUGAGGUUGACAGCAUCACGUGAGCAUGUAUGGGACUGCAUCUCAUGCUGUCAGAACUGACACUUGGUGGAAGCAUUGCUGGUACGCCUGGCGCUGCAGUGAGAGGUGGGCUGGCCAGAGGGGACCCCUGCUCCCCCAUAGGCACUGAGCCCCUGCUGCUGGGGGAUGGACCUGGGGGACUAGAAGCAGGCCACCUCAGGAUGGAAGUGGAGUCUGAGCCUUGUAGAGUCGUAGAAUUAUGAAGAUUGGAAAAAGCCACUGAGAUCAUCAACCCAUCCCCACUGUGCCCAUGAUCCUCAGUGCCACAUCUGCCCUUAUCUUGGGACAGCCUGGGAGCUGGAAGGCUGGUUUUUUUUUAUGGACGGUUUCAGCUGGAUUUCUCUCUUCUUUCAAAUGAAGUGUUUCCUCUUGGAUGGUUUGAGCCUGUCCUCCUUUGGAUCUUUGUUUUUGCAAAUCCAAGUCAGUGUGGCUCAUUCUACCUGGAUCUUAGGAGGAAGGCUGUCUGUUAAAGACAAGCUGAAGUUCAGAGUGUUGGCAGUGGUCAAGGAAUGAACCAGGACCCCAGUGGCCUUGCUCGGCUCUUGAUCAGAUGAAUUUUCUUCUGGAGAGCCAGGAGGUGGGUUAGGGAAGGCUGUUGCUGUGGCAGCAGGAGUGGAUCAGCCCUCUGCAGCCUGCUCCUUCACACAGCAAGCUGCUCAGCGACCUGUCAGCUCUGUGCUGAUCAGAUGGGGGCUGAAGGCAGAGUUCAGAGCAGGAGGAUGGGUGGGUCUGUGUGCUGCUGUGACGGAGAAAAAAGGCAGCAGGCGGGUGUGAUGGGCCCGUCCCAGCCUUCUGCUUUUCCCAUGAGUUGCAUAGUGCCAGACCCUUGCUGUCCAGUUCUUUGAUUUGGGGACAGCACAGGAGAGCUGGGGGGAAAUCCAAUAGCAGCCCCAGCCACUGGCAUGGAGAAUGAAAUUGGGAAAAUGGUGGAAGACAAGAAAGGGUGGGAAAGCUGUGAGUUUCGUGUGUUUGAUAUUGGUUUGAUAUUGGAUGGCCCCAUCCUUGCAGACAGCCAAGGUCAGGCUGGACAGGGCUCUGAGCACCUGAUGGAGCUGUGUGUGUCCCUGCUUGGUGCAGGGGGGUUGGUCCAGAUGGCCUUUAAGGGUCCCUUCCAACUCCAGAGAUGCCGUGGUUCCUUGGGGAGCCCUGGAGCUGACACAUCUGGUUGCCAGGCUAUGGCAGUGCCCUCGUGGCUUUGCAAUGCAUGCUAAUGUCUUGGGGUAGUAGCCAAAGGAGUGGAAGGCAGUCUUCUUGUCAGAGUUAAAACGUGAAGACCCUGUCCAGUCUGUCUUUCCCAAGGACAGACGUGGGGUCUGUCUCACUGUGGCUCCCACCAGCUCGAUCUGCUGUCACUGUGUCACUGUCACUGGUGGCUGGAGAGCUGCACGGGGCGGACUGAAUGCCCUCCCCGUGUGUGAGCUGAGAUCUAUCUAAUGUCAGCCGAGUGCGGGCUGCUGCCUUCAGCACCUCCAAGCCCGCGCUACCUUGCUAUAGCCCAGCCUGAAUUUGGCAUUCGCUGUCAGGUGGCUGAUUUCUGCCUGCAGAAUAUGGAAAGCGUCAGCCUGGCAUUUCCCUCUUGCCUCCUAGGGACAAAGCAGGUCAUGACUUCCGUGUAUUAUCAUUAAAAAGAUAAUUUCCUCUAGAUGUGUGCAAUAAGACAAUGGUGCUGACCUGUGAUCCUGGCAUUGCACAGCAUUAAUGAUUUCCCUUUGCAGGUAAUAAGCAGCAAAUGUACACAUUUUGGGGAGAUCUGAAUUAUUUUUUUUCCUUUUAAGACUGCUGUCUUCCUAGGCCAGACUUAAUUAGCAGACCUCAUUAUUUCCUGAAAUGUAACUUGACUUCCAUUGAAUGAGAAUUGUUCAGUGGAUGGGGAGCAGCAGAGCGGUGCUGCAAUAUUCAUAUUGUUUAAAUUGCAACAUUAACAUUUCAUGCCGCUCUUGGCAUAUUUUCAGGUGCGGCCCUUUAGCUCAAUGCAGUGCUGUGAAAGGUUGGAUCAGAACAAUUAGGAUACAGUGACUGGAUUUCUGGAUUAUUUUUUUUUAAGAAACAAGCUUAGAUUCAAUCCCCAUCAUUCUUUUUGUUUGGCAGAACAGGGAUUCCAGCGCCCCUGAAGGAAAUGCUUUUCUGGAAUAAAGGAUGUGCUGUAGCACGUGCUCACCUCCUCUCUUAGCAGAGCUGAAGCCCUGCAGGUACAUGCAGUACGUGAUCCACAAAGCCAACAGCAUCUCCCAGGACUUGACCUUUACCAGUCUGUUCCCGUGAGAUUUAUAGACUCUGACUGUCCCCAAGACCUCUGCCUCUCUGUCAGAUCAGGCUCAAAUCUGUUCUCAGUGUCAGAAGCUGCUGCCGAGCGGGCAGGGGACGGACUGAUGCAUGUGUUUGCAUCCCAUAGGAACUCAGGCACAGACCUGGGGGGCAGUGGGAGCUCUGAUUUCCAACUUGUGGGUUCAGGAAGGUGGGCAUCCAGGAGAAGCGCUGUGCCCACAGCCAAUCCUGCUCAAGAUGCCGUGCUGCGGGAUGCUCGCGGGCUGCGCUUCGUGUUCCCAUCGCCUGCGGUGACCAUCACAAGAGGCACAGCCCCUGUGGGAACAGCCCCUGAGGACAACAAACGAUCCAGCCUCGAGCUCCCAGCUGCUGUGAAGAAUUGCCUGGCUAAAGGAUAAUGAAUACCGCAGCAGUAGACGGAGCGUUUCUCUGAGGCCAUCCAUCCCCUUUAUCACCCCGCUAACAAGCCCCUGAGCGACUUCAGAGAGGCUUCUGCUGAGCAGCUCCAUCCCUCACUGUGCUGGCAGCUGGGUGCUGGGGCCUCUGCGGGAAACAGCAGUCCCAUCCCACAGAGCAACCGCCAGUGCCAUCCAGGGGCCCACGUAGAGCCAAGGAGGGACAGAAAAGCCAAGCAUCCUUUUUUUCCAAGGUACUUUUGGGCCCUGCAGCACUCUUUGGAGCAUUGCUCUACCCAGCUCCCAGCCUGGCUAAGAUUUCUGAGAUCCAUACAAGGCCCAGGAGGAGUUUAGUGCUGCUGGCCAGGAGGUUUAUCUGCUGGAAGAUGCAUUUAGCAUGGUCCCUGCAAGAACUUCGCAACUGGUGCUGGGCUGGAGGAAGAGAAGGGAAAGCAAACAGUAUUCUGUGUCCUCUGCAGUGUAGGUGGUUUGGGGGGAGGGUGGCAAAAAGCAGGAGAAAAGCUGCAAAGCCAUUCAGGAAGGUGCAGAGAGCACAGUGAUGGGCAAUUAGGAUGUUCCAGGAAGGACAGAAGCAGCAGAAAGCAGAGAGCUGAGGCUGACGAGCUCUCUGAUACUCGGAGUCAGCUUUGAGGUCGCUGAGUAGGGCAGGUUGUCUUUGGUGCCUCAGUUUCCCCACCUGGUGAAUUGGCUUCCAACUUCCCCUUAUAGGAGGAGUUCAUUUACAGCCCGAAAAUAUCUGCUGCUUUUCCUCCUUUUGCCAGCACCAUCAAGUGUUGAAUUGAAGGGGAAACACAAUGCAUCACCCUCCUCAUGGGCUGCCACUCUGCCAAGAGUAGCGGAGAUUGGCCUUCCAUCACGGGGGGAGCUGGGGCAGAGGGAACCUCCCGAAGCACAGAGUGGAGAAAUGCUGUCAUUAGCUAAGGAAGACCUGACAGAGAUGGAGUGCUCCUUCACCUCAGCCGCCUGACCUCUGCCCUGCCUGGUGCUAACAGGACAGCGUAAUGCUAACCGAGGGGCUGCACCAGCUGCAGGGCUUGAAGUGCUGUCUGCAUCCAGAUGUGAGAAACAGCUGGGGCAGCAAGGCAGUGCCUUUACAGCCUGGUGGGGGUGGCUUUGUUUUCUUUUGCUGCCUAUCAACAAGCACUUGCUGUUGGGGUCAAACUGCCUCUCUCCAUGCUUUCAGUUAAUGGGCGCUGGGUUGGGAGACACAUGCCUGUGGAUGAUCCCCAGAGGUCCCUUCCAACCCCUACAGUUCAGUGGGUCUGUGAUGUCCCUGGCUAUGAAGGUCCCAGGAUGCAGGAGGCACUGUGGCUCUGUCUCCUGCAUUGUGUUUUACCAGUGUAACAGGGCUGCCUUUCAGGGUGGUGUAGGUCUGACGGAUGCCUUGCCUGCUCCUGUCUCGCAGGUUGUAGGGAAAUCAUUUUAAUUAGCGUGACAUGUUCCUUUGUGGGCAAAAAGAAAGAAAAGAAGGAAAGCCAAUAGAAGCUCUGACCAUACGGGGUAUUUUUAGUUCUUUGCAAAGGACCAUUAACAUCUCUCUCGCUCCCUGAAGACCACUCCUGCUCUGCAGUUGCCUGCGGUGCUGUGCUGAUGCCAGCACACCCUGCAUGAAGGUAAGCCAGCCCCCACGGCUGCGGUCCCAGAGAGCCUCGUGCCCCAUCCUUGCUCUUGGGAUGCCCAGGCACAGCUCUUGGAGAAGGGGUGAGAAGCUCGGACACAGAGUUCCCAUACUGAGGCAUCUCCCCCCCUUCCCUUUCUGAGCUGAGAGCAGACAAAAUUAAAGUAAAACUUGGCUCCUGAGCCUGAACCCUUCAUCGGGCUUGUUUUCCCUUUUUUUUUUUUUCCUCCAACCAUUUCAGUUGGCUGAGUGCCAUUGCCAGCCUAUUGCUUAUGGAGGGAAGGAGACCUGAGAGAGGAUAAAUCUGGAGGCAAUGAGGUUGGAGGGAGGCAAGUCAUCUGCUCUGACACUUUUAUUGUGGAGCGAGGCUGCUUGGGAGUGAAUCUUCCUUGAGGCAUAUGCUGUGGGAUGUCAUUGCUUCCAGGGAAGGCAGUAGCCUUCCCUAAGCCUUGCUGCCCAGCCCUGUGCUCUUCUCCUGGGGCUGGCAUUGCCCUGGGCUGCAGGACUGCUGAGGGGGUCCUUGGCUUUGGCCAUUGUUCCCCUUCUCUUUCAGGUGUUUUGGGCUCUCAGUGCUCUGACUGAAGGCAUAACUUCUGGGAUGUGUCAGACGAGCCUGGUUUUGCCACCAGGAGAAGCCUUUAAUGACUUCAGCCAAUGGACACAAGUGUUGUGCUGGACACAAGGGAGCUGUUGGUUUGGGUGUGUUUCUUGCUUUGGAAAUGCUGAGGGUGCAACAGAGAUCACAGUGAAAUCCUCCUCAAAGUUGCCCAGGAGAGUGGAUGGCCUCAGGGAAAGGUUACCCCCAGCUCUGGGAAGGCAGAUCUGCUUGUUCAGUAACAUGGUGAGGAGCUGAUGGCCAUGCUCUGUGCAGGAGUGGGAGCCAGGGGAGAUUUCAGGUUACACUGCGCUCCCUGCUCCUUUCCAGUAUCACUGUCAGCUUGGAUUUCACGUGGAGGUGGUGAUGCUGCGGCUGGCAUGACUGUAACAGGAUGUCACAGGGAGAGGUGACGUUUUUCCCUCCAUAGGGGCACUUCUUCCUUUCCCUUCCCUCUGGCUUACAUGACUAACUCCAGGCUCUCAGUGCCAACAUCUGUGUUGCCCAAGGGACUGGGCAUUGCUUUGUGCUGUGUCAGUGAGCAGCUCUGUGUCACUGGUGCCUCUCCAACAUUAAGGGUUGAGUGGGUGACCAGUGGGUGACAUGUCACUGCCAGACAAAUCAGGGCAGUUGGGAGAUGCUCAUCAAGGGGAACAAUCCCUUACCAUACUGGCACCCUCAAACAGCAGCAUCCUGCCAGCCCUGAGGAUCCAAGAACUUAAUCUGGUGCUUGUUCUCUAUUAGCCCUGAUCCCCUCUCGCAUCUUUUCCAGCUGCUGCCUGAGCCCAUUUUUGUUUUGUUUCCCUUUCUUCCUCACCUUAUGAAAAAUGGCUUUGCCAUCUGCAUCUGUCAGGAGUCUGUGGAGCUGGGCCCACGGCUCAGUGAGUCUACAAACGUGCGGUUGGAUUGUGGGCCCCACUGACAGGCUGGAGCCGAAUACCAAUGUGCGGGAGGAUGAGAGCGCUCCCUUCUCUGCUGCUGGUGCCUCUGCUGGUUGUUUUUUUUUCUAUCCGGCGGAGGUGUGAGAAUCGCCUCUGGGAGCAAUGCUUCCUUCUGCUCCUGUUCCGCCUUGCCAAGGUUGGGUUCCCUGCCAUCCAUCAUCAGAUGAGUCCUCGCCUCGCUCCCACAUCUCAGCUGCUGAGGGGAAUGCUGGGGAAGGGGAAACAUUCCACUCUGCCUUCCCCACCACCCCUUCCCCUCUCUUUUUACAUCUCGUCUCCCAGGUACAGUGCAAGGCAGUAGGUAGGCUCGAGCCCAAGAACGCUUAGAAUCAUAGAACCAUGGAAUAGCCUGAGUUGGAAGGGAUCCAUAAGGAUCAUCGAGUCCAACUCCUGGCUCCACACAGGACCACCCAAACCUCAGAUUCUGUGUCAGAGAGCGUUGUCAAGAUGCAUCAUAAACGCUGGCAUCUCUGUGCUGUGCCCACAGCCCUGGGCAGCCUGUUCCAUGCCCCACCACCCUCUGGUGCAGAACCUAUUCCUCCCCCAAGCCUGAAGUUGCCUUUGUUUGCUGCUACCAAGUGGUCUUGGUGAGAGUGGAGGAUGAGGUAGAGGGAGGUGUCUGUCCAACCAUACAUUCCUGCUGAUUUUGAAUAGAAGUUUUUGGCAGAGUUGGGUGAGACCCUAGGUAAGAUGUGACAGCACCCAAGUGCUCCUGCUUCUCUUAGCCUCACUGUAACUCUGUGGGGUCACGCAGCUGCCCACAGGAGGUGACAAGCUGCCUUGGCCCUGCUGGGUUUGCCCACCCCCACCCGACUUGUUGGGUUUCCUGCAGCCUGCUACAUGAGCCACUUCCCCAUCCUUGCUGUGCUGACAUGCAUAGAGCCAGGUGGGCUCAGAGGAGUGGGCAGAAGAUGAAAUGAAUCUCUCCAUGCUCUUGCCACAGCUCCCUGGUCAAGGAGGAGAAGCUUCUGGGAGGGUGGCCCCCUGCUUUGGCAGGAGGAGAGAACCAGCAGCUUGAGCUGAGCUGGUUUUUCUACAAGCAGAUGGAUGUUCAGCAGGGGCCCAUGAAAACCUUCUAGCUUCAGGCUAGCUGCAAGCCCUCCAAACCAUAGCAUUGUGCUGAUGCGAAGAAAGCAUCACUCCACUGCUGCUCGGUCUGAAUUACCUCUCUGGGGGGCAGCACCUGUCCCCUGUGCCGCUGCUCUGCAUCUGGCUGGGCAAGGCCGUGCAAGAAGGGAGGAAGGCAGCGAUGGCAGCCUCUUCCCAGAUCUCCACACUGCGGGGCUCUUGGCGAGCUAACUCAGUCUGCUCUGCAGGCUCUGAGUGCUCCUGCAGGUGGGAGCCAAUUUGUCUGCAUUCCUGCCCAGGUGCCAUCUGCUGUAGGAUUGCCUGCGCAAGGAUGAGCGCGAUGAGGAUGGCAAAGGGAGAGCGGGAGAGAGGAGCUCAGGCUUCCCCGGGUAACUUCAGCACUUCUUGAAGCCGUCGCGGUGGGGAAGUUGCAGCCUGUCAUUUGCUGUUCCUGGAGCGUGAUGGGGAGCUGAGGCAUUGCUAAUGGCAAGCUAUCAUUUUAAUGCUAAUUUCCCAGCAUUAGAUCAGGACGGGGGAGGCAAAGCCUCCAUGGAGGGAAGUCAUUAGCAGAUGGAGAAGGGGGGAUGUGUGAGGCUUGUUCUGCACCCAAGAAGGGACUUCCAGGGGGCGGGUGAUUAACCACCACUGGGAAGACGGGGAGCAGAUGCUGGGUCAGUUCCUGGUGGCCAUGGGGGGGACAUUUUCUUCCAAAGCCCCUUCCUUCAUGGGUUUCCUGAUUGCCUCAGGCUUUGGGCCAGAUUUGGAGUUUGCAGUUUGCCCUUGGUGCCUGGUGGCUGUGGGGUGCUCAGCGCAGUGGCAGGACUGUCCUGGUGACACAGUUGUCCUUUACUGAAGGAGCCAACUCUUACCAGGGUUAAGUUUAACUUCUCUUUUUGUGGAAGUCCCCAGAUGUAGGAGCCUGGAUAUCCACAUUCGUAGGAUCGUAUAAUCAUUUGAGUUGGAAUGGACCCUUAAGGGCCAUCUGGUCCAACUCCCUGCACUGAACAGGGACACCUACAGCUCCAUCAGGUGCUCAGAGCCCUGUCCAGCCUG